CCAGAGGGCCUUCCCAGGAGGGUAGGCGUUAAUGCAAGCAAGUGGUGGUCUGCAUAGCUGAGCAGAGUCUGCUGUGUUUCUGAUAAAUUGUGAAGAGCCACAGACCUUUGCCUAAUGAAGGGCCUCAAGCUCCUGCUGGACAUUGUAAACUGCUAGGAGAAGCUGAGUGAAUAUUAUCAAAUGCCUUAACAAAACUGCAUUAUGUGAAGCAAAUUAAAUCACUGGUUUCCACGUCCUCCAGUUUCUACAAUAAUACAUAAACAGAGAAAAAACAGGAUCCGGAGACAAAGACAAGCCUGGAAAUACCUUCAACACUGUUAAAUAGGUCCAUUUCCUUAUGCUUUUUCUCAGUAACUGAAAUUUCUCCAUUUCCCUCCAUUGCCCAUGAUGAAGUUUGCCCAGAGCAAUUGGAUGAUGAUAUCACCUAGGAUGUCACCAAUACUAUCAGCUUUCUUCACUCUGU
rnacentral:lncRNA from 1 species